ACAGGUAGUAUUACAGGUGGUAUUACAGGUGGUAUUACAGGUAGUAUUACAGGUGGUAUUACAGGUGGUAUUACAGGUGGUAUUACAGGUGGUAUUACAGGUAGUAUUACAGGCAGUAUUACAGGUGGUAUUACAGGUGGUAUUACAGGUAGUAUUACAGGUAGUAUUACA